rnacentral:misc_RNA from 1 species
ACAAUAUCUAAUCCCACAACCUGAAUCAAGAAAAUACACACACAAUACAUAUAUAACUAGCUUUCUUUUUGUUGAUUCUGUCAGACAUCAAUAUAUUAGGUAAGAUGUCAAUAUAUUACGACUAGGAUUGAGCAGAAAUUGGUUUUUUACCCAAAAAACAAACUGAACUGAUCUAUUUCUGUUUUUUAAUUCAACCAAUUCAGUUAUUAUGGUCAGAAAAACUGAAAUAACCAAACCAACUGAAAUAUUUCUCAACUUAUAUCGGUUCUGUUGUUUUCGUUGAUAGAUGUUGUUUUAUGGUGAGCAAACCCAGGAAUAAAUGUAAAAUCCUUAAACCUAAUUCCCAAUUUGCAUUCUACUCUCCAAACUCCAGAGAACAUCUCUCAGCUCCUGCCUCUCGAGUCUUGCCGCUAGUGUCCACUGUCUACCUCAACCCAGCCACCCCUCAGUCUGUUCACCACUUCACCUUGAAACCAAAAAGAGCUUGCAUUUUCCUAUACCCCCUACCUUUGGCUCCCGCGCUGUCCCUCAUCCAUCGUAUCGACCCCAGCUCUAGCUCUCUCUACCAUCACUCACGAGAUGCAGCUUCACCCAGACAGCCAAAUCGAGUUGCAACCUACUCCAUCUCCCUCGGUAAAGUAUAGACACCCAUUCCUAGGCUAGAUGACAUAUUAGAUGAAUUGCAUGGUGCUUGUGUCUUUUCGAAAA